GGAAAGUGGAUAUUCUUGCAUACUGUUUAGUGGUGCGUUGGACUUUCACAUGUCAGACUCAUGCAUAGCUCGACUUAGCUAAACAAAGAAGCAGGCAAGCAGAAAAAUUUUAAGUAUAGAGAAUGUCACCACCCUCUGCAGCCAGGGGAAAAUCAGUACGUGGUAGCCAGACUGGAAGACCAAGAGGAAGACCACCAAAAGCUUUAGCUGGGCAGAAAACUGUUCCAUCCAACUGUCGAUGAAGAAUUAGGACAUGUACAUGAAGAAAUCUUGUUGGAGGAGGCACAAUAUUAAAAUUUGGAGUAUUUGGUAUUUUAUUUGGUAUUUGUAUUUUAUUUUAUUUGGUAUUUGACCAAAUAAUGAAAAAAAUGUAUUUGGAAUACCAUGUAUUUUAAGAAACAUGUAUUUUAUUUGAUCAAAUACAUAACUUUUGUCAAAUACAAAACACUGAGU